rnacentral:rRNA from 1 species
GAUGAACGCUAGCUACAGGCUUAACACAUGCAAGUCGAGGGGCAGCGGGGAUCUAGCUUGCUAGAUUUGCCGGCGACCGGCGCACGGGUGAGUAACACGUACCCAACCUGGCCCAUACUCGGGUAUAGCCUCUCGAAAGGGAGAUUAAUCCCCGAUGUUGUGGUUUCACCGCAGGGGUUUGCAACCAAAGAAUUUCGGGAUGGGAGGGGGAUGCGUUCCAUUAGCUUGUUGGCGGGGUAACGGCCCAACAAGGCGACGAUGGAUAGGGGUUCUGAGAGGAAGGUCCCCAACACUGGAACUGAGACACGGUCCAGACUCCUACGGGAGGCAGCAGUGAGGAAGAUUGGUCAAUGGGCGAGAGCCUGAACCAGCCAAGUAGCGUGAAGGAUGACUGCCCUACGGGUUGUAAACUUCUUUUGUUUGGGAAUAAAGUUCAGCACGUGUGCUGUUUUGUAUGUACCAUUCGAAUAAGCAUCGGCUAAUUCCGUGCCAGCCGCCGCAGUAAGAC